AAUCAGUGGCGAGCGCGAGGGCGGGCUGUGACGCGGCCGGCGCUCCUCGUGCGGCGGCGGCAGAGGAGUGAGUGCAGCGGCCAGCAGCGCAUCCCCGCUCCACAGUCUCCACAGUCGCCGCAGUCGCCGCAGCCGCCCCGCGCGCCCAACCGCCGCGGCCCCCUGCCCCGCCGGCCUGCCAGUGAGAGAGCGGCGAGCGGGCGCCCGGCCGGACCCUGAGCCUAGUCCUCUCGCGCUGCGGCCGCCCGCGCCUCCUCGGCCGCCUGUCGGGCAUGAAAACCAAAUUCUGCACCGGGGGCGAGGCGGAGCCCUCGCCGCUCGGGCUGCUGCUGAGCUGCGGUAGCGGCAGCGCGGCCUCGGCGCCCGGCGUGGGGCAGCAGCGCGACGCCGCCAGCGACCUCGAGUCCAAGCAGCUGGGCGGCCAACAGCCGCCGCUCGCGCUGCCCCCUCCGCCGCCGCUGCCGCUGCCGCUGCCCCAGUCCCCGCCGCCGCAGCCGCCCGCAGAUGAGCAGCCGGAGCCCCGGACGCGGCGCAGGGCCUAUCUGUGGUGCAAGGAGUUCCUGCCCGGCGCCUGGCGGGGCCUCCGCGAGGACGAGUUCCACAUCAGUGUCAUCAGAGGCGGCCUUAGCAACAUGCUGUUCCAGUGCUCCCUACCUGACACCACAGCCACCCUUGGCGAUGAGCCUCGGAAAGUGCUCCUGCGGCUGUAUGGAGCGAUUUUGCAGAUGAGGUCCUGUAAUAAAGAGGGAUCCGAACAAGCUCAGAAAGAAAAUGAAUUUCAAGGGGCCGAGGCCAUGGUUCUGGAGAGCGUUAUGUUUGCCAUUCUCGCAGAGAGGUCACUUGGGCCAAAACUCUAUGGCAUCUUUCCCCAAGGCCGACUGGAGCAGUUCAUCCCGAGCCGGCGAUUAGAUACUGAAGAAUUAAGUUUGCCAGAUAUUUCUGCAGAAAUCGCCGAGAAAAUGGCUACAUUUCAUGGUAUGAAAAUGCCAUUCAAUAAGGAACCAAAAUGGCUUUUUGGCACAAUGGAAAAGUAUCUAAAGGAAGUGCUGAGAAUUAAAUUUACUGAGGAAUCCAGAAUUAAAAAGCUCCACAAAUUGCUCAGUUACAAUCUGCCCUUGGAACUGGAAAACCUGAGAUCAUUGCUUGAAUCUACUCCAUCUCCAGUUGUAUUUUGUCAUAAUGACUGUCAAGAAGGUAAUAUCUUGUUGCUGGAAGGCCGAGAGAAUUCUGAAAAACAGAAACUGAUGCUCAUUGAUUUCGAAUACAGCAGUUACAAUUACAGCAGCUACAGUCCUGCUCCCUCAGCAAGUCCAGAUGGCAACAGGAGUGGCGUGCUCGGAACUCAGCCUUUCUUUCUUCUGCAGUCAGGGAGCCUCCAGGCAUACGGUUUGCCUCAUUGUGUGCACUGUCUUAUGUCUUAUUUCAGGGGAUUCGACAUUGGAAAUCACUUCUGUGAGUGGAUGUAUGAUUAUAGCUAUGAAAAAUACCCUUUUUUCAGAGCAAACAUCCGGAAGUAUCCCACCAAGAAACAACAGCUCCAUUUUAUUUCCAGUUACUUGCCUGCAUUCCAAAAUGACUUUGAAAACCUCAGUACUGAAGAAAAAUCCAUUAUAAAAGAAGAAAUGUUGCUUGAAGUUAAUAGGUUUGCCCUUGCAUCUCAUUUCCUCUGGGGACUGUGGUCCAUUGUACAAGCCAAGAUUUCAUCUAUUGAAUUUGGGUACAUGUACCUGAAUGUGGUGACCUGGUGGCAUCAGGACAGUGUGGCUCAGCCCAGGAAGCCGGGGGAGAAGCCGCUGUCACUGAUGCUGUGGUUGCCUUUGGAGGUUGCCCUCACUUCCAGGCCAGCUGACCUUGCCUCCCCUGCUUCAGAGAAGUGCCUGCAAUCCUGAUGGGGAAUGUAGGCAUCUGCACCCUCGAAGUCCAGCUCUGACCUCAGUCCCUUCUGACACGGGACAGACUACGCCCAAGCAAGGUUUGAUGCCUAUUUCCACCAGAAGAGGAAGCUUGGGGUGUGACUGUGGGGAGGACUCCAUCCACCUCAUCACUGGACUGCAUGGGGAGGCAGCAGAGCGGGGUCCCCUCUGUGCUUCGACUACUGCUCCUGUGGCAGGAGGCUUUGGGUGGCUCACUACUGAACACGUGUAUGAUACUAAAGACGGUAUUAAAAUGGAGCGACGUUUAUUUCAUCUCUUGUUUACGAUUUCACUAGGACUCAGAAACGAGAUCGGGAAGCAGAAAUAUAGUGCAAUAGUGCAACAUCUCUGAAUCCUUUUAAUCUAGAGAAGGCAUUUCAUAUUUGGGGGCUAAGGUUUCCAGUCAGAUGAGGCAAACAGCAAGAGUAAGCAGUGUUACUUGCAGGUACUUUGGUUAAUGUUGAUUUAAAUUUUCAUGAAUGUGCUGGUGAACACUGUGACCAGGCUUUUGUAGAUGGCUAUGUGUUAUAGACGGUGCUCACUCCCAAGGGACGGCAAGUGAGCAGAGAUGUACUGCGAAGUCGCCAGUCACUGCUGCAAGGUGGCCUCUGCCUGGGGCCUCCGGAAGCUGCUCCUCUACCCUCUUGGUCCCAUGGCUGAAGCUGGAGCAGCGGAUUGCUCUGGAGCAGCCAAGGCCGCCUGCGUGUGGAGCAGAGCUCUCCCCUCCUGCUGGGCGUGUGUGACACUGAUGAGUUUCACUGUACUGCAUGUGACUUCUCCCCUGCCCUUCCUCCUGAUGGAGUGCAGACAGCCAUGCGUGGCCACGGGGGCAGUGUGAGGACCUCCGUGUCUCCCGGCUCCCCUCCCAGGGGAGCCAGCUGCUUGACCUAGCUCUUUGGGCCUCUCCUGCCCUCUGCUCUGCCUGGAGUGUCGGAUCCUGUGAGUAGGCUGGGCCGCCCCUGGGCAGGGUUCUCCAAGGGCCCGGUUUCCCGGCCCUUACCUUUCCUGAUGCCCCUGACAUCAUCAUUCUUGUGGGAGACAGCAGCCUGUAUGUGGUGUGGGGCGUGGAUCGAGUGUAGCUGUGAAAUCCAUAUAUAUGAAAUGUCCCGCGGGAUACAGUCUUAGCUGACUUUUUUUUACUCUGAACUCUGAAUUGUUUUUUGUGCAUAUAUUUCUGCUACCACAGAGAUUGUACUAUACAAAUAAAAAAAUAAAAACCCAA